rnacentral:lncRNA from 1 species
UUGGAUAUUGUUUGAGAUAUAACUUCAGAAAAAUUUUCUAAAUCUUAGUUGUCCUUUUGUUUUGUAACUGUCAGUUUUAUUAAGAGGUUGUAAUAGAAAUAUUGUAAAUUGUCAUUGAAAGCAAUUUUGGUCUUAUCCUACUCAAAAAGCAAAGUGGUAAUGAUUAAAUCGGUACUUCAAGAAGAAGAAAAUCAGACUGGAGUAGGCUGGAAAGCUGAACGAGGAAAAUCAUGUAUGUUAUAUGAGUUCGAUUUUCUUCUUUUAUUUAAUUACGCAAAUUUUAUCUUAAUUUAAUUUUAUUUGAGUUUUUAGUUGUCAACUAAUUCACACUCCUCUUAUUUGCCAUGUGAUCCUUCAAAUGAUACUGCAGAUAAUCCAACCCAUAUGUU